rnacentral:rRNA from 1 species
GACGAACGCUGGCGGCGUGCUUAACACAUGCAAGUCGAACGGAAAGGCCCUGCUUUUGUGGUGUUCUCGAGUGGCGAACGGGUGAGUAACACGUGAGUAACCUGCCCUUUACUUUGGGAUAACUUCAGGAAACUGGGUCUAAUACCGGAUAUGAGCUCCUGCUGCAUGGGGGGGGUUGGAAAGUUUCGGCGGUGGGGGAUGGACUCGCGGCUUAUCAGCUUGUUGGUGGGGUAGUGGCUUACCAAGGCUUUGACGGGUAGCCGGCCUGCGAGGGUGACCGGCCACAUUGGGACUGAGAUAAGGCCAAGACUCCUACGGGAGGCAGCAGUGGGGAAUAUUGCACAAUGGGCGGAAGCCUGAUGCAGCAACGCCGCGUGCGGGAUGACGGCUUUAGGGUUGUAAACCGCUUUAGCCUGUGACGAAGCGUGAGUGACGGUAAUGGGUAAAGAAGCACCGGCUAACUACGUG